rnacentral:tRNA from 4 species
UGUGUGUAAUUUAAAAAAAA